GGGGUCGUCCGGUAUUGACAGGAUGUGUGAGGACGUAAGCCAGCAUGCGAGCUCAUGGGAUGAGAGCUCUGAAAGAUAGUCCUGCAAUUUACGUGGCGAGAAUAACUACGCCAUGGCUGCUUAAUCUGACGGAAUGUUAGGUUAGCUUAUCCGCGGAUAAGAUCCGCGGAGGCCAUCAUCGCUCAGCGCCUCCGUUCUUCGGGAGCUGGAUCAGCGGUGUCGACAGAAUGAACUGGGCUGCCUUGUGUUGCGCAAGGUCGUCGAGAUAACAGCAACUAAGGAAGGGAUUAGGCUGUUGCCUGCCUUACCCGACCCGACAACCAAAGUCAACUAAGCAUGUAGAA
rnacentral:tmRNA from 1 species